AGGAAAGCCACUGAGGCUAGGCUGGUCUCAGGGGUGUCCCUGCAUGGAGGACAUUGCAGAUGAGCCAUCGCGUGCUGCUGUGAAGAAUAGUAGACUGAGAUCUCUACAAGAAGAAGAAGAGCAGAAGGAGGCCUGGAAGACAGAUGUGGGACAUGUGCUCCUGUGGGAUCUGUCCCAGGACCUGGCCCAUUCUAAGAAAAGAUUCUGACACCAUGGAAGGAGGUAUGCUGCUGCUGUUCUAAUAUAUUUUGUUGUGACAUAUAUACAUACACAUACUAUGUUUUAGCCAUGACUAUAUCCCAUCUUUAUGUUGUAUCCCCUCCCACUCCUUUUAUUCCCAGUGAUUUUCUCAACUAAUCUUCUUCCUAUUUUCAUGGGUUUGGGGAUUUUUGUCUUGUUUUUGUCAACCCAUAACUUUAAUUAAGGUUACCUUGAGGAGCAUGUGUUGGGGACUGAUUUAACAAAUCCCCACCUGCCCAACUAUUUUCAUCACCAUCACUAUCAAGUACCCUGUUUUUGUUCCCUCCAACCACUCCUGAUCCCAAUACUGAGGUAGAACCUACCCAACUCCAGUGUCUUAGGGUUUUACUGCU